rnacentral:lncRNA from 1 species
GCAACAGGGUGAUCCUUGGCCAAAGCCAAACGAUAAAGAGGCCCCACAACAAAACCAAGUGCAGCCUAUGGAAGUUGACCCAUCGAUGUCUAGGUUUAGGCAACAGACCAAUUGGGGGAAACCACAGAGCGACGUCACACAGGGCGAAGCUCAGAAAAGGCGGAACACGUCAGAUCGUAUAUCUGGGCAAAGACGCCAAGGGAUAAAUAAUAUAAUACAGCAGGCCCCUAACCAAGGGGAACAAGAAUAUGCAAACUUAGCCGAGGCCGCGGUUGCGGAAAUUGACGAAGAAAGUGAUUCGGCUAGCGGCAACGACCUGUUCAAUUUUUUUAGUGAGCGCUCCCAAUUGCCGUUCGUCGAGCGACAGUUGGCUGGCAAAACACUAAAAAUUUUAAUCGACACUGGUGCGGCUAAAAAUUACGUAAAGCCCAUAAAGGAGCUGAAAAACGUAACUUCGGUCGACGCCCCCUUCACCGUGAGCUCGAUACAUGGCUCCAGUGAAAUAAAAAACAAGUGCCUAAUGAAUAUUUUCGGGCAAAACGACCCAUUUUUUUUGUUAGACACUCUAGCUACGUUCGAUGCCAUUAUAGGUUCCGAUUUGCUAACGCGAGCGGGAGCGGCAUUGAACCUGCGCAGCGGAACAAUCAGAUACGGAAACGCAACUGAACAACUUAGGUUCCACAACUGUGACAAAGUAAAUUUCACCAAAGUCGAUGACCUGGUGGUCCCAGGCUCGGUAAAAUCCGAGUUCAAAAAGAUGAUACUGAAGAGAAUUCAAGUUUUUUCGACCUCUAACGAAGCGCUUCCUUUUAACAUUUCGAGGCAGAACAGAGUCUUUGAAGUGGGCGAAAAGGUUUACCCAAGGAAUAACAAAAGACUAGGGAACAAGCUAACCCCGCUGUACUCAGAAGAACGGGUACAAGCGGACCUUGGAACGGCAGUUCUAAUUAAGGGGAGGGUGGUCCAUAAGGACAAUCUGAAAUAAUUCAAACUUUUG